rnacentral:rRNA from 1 species
CCUACGGGUGGCAGCAGUGGGGAAUAUUGCACAAUGGGGGAAACCCUGAUGCAGCGACGCCGCGUGAGUGAAGAAGUAUUUCGGUAUGUAAAGCUCUAUCAGCAGGGAAGAAAAUGACGGUACCUGAUUAAGAAGCCCCGGCUAACUACGUGCCAGCAGCCGCGGUAAUACGUAGGGGGCAAGCGUUAUCCGGAUUUACUGGGUGUAAAGGGAGCGUAGACGGCAGCACAAGUCUGGAGUGAAAUGCCGGGGCUCAACCCCGGCCCGCCGUUGAAACUGGCAGUCUCGAGUUGGAGAGAAGUAUGCGGAAUGCGCGGUGUAGCGGUGAAAUGCAUAGAUAUCGCGCAGAACUCCGAUUGCGAAGGCAGCAUGCCGGCUCCACACUGACGCUGAGGCACGAAAGCGUGGGUAUCGAACAGGAUUAGAUACCCUUGUAGUC